rnacentral:tRNA from 1 species
GCGCCUGUGGUCUAGUGGCAGAAUACCUCUCUGCCACGGAGGAGACCCGAGUUCGAUUCUCGGCAGGCGUA